rnacentral:rRNA from 1 species
CCUACGGGGUGCAGCAGUGGGGAAUAUUGGACAAUGGGCGAAAGCCUGAUCCAGCCAUGCCGCGUGUGUGAAGAAGGCCUUCGGGUUGUAAAGCACUUUCAGUGGGGAAGAAAGCCUUGGGGCUAAUACCCUCGAGGAAGGACAUCACCCACAGAAGAAGCACCGGCUAACUCCGUGCCAGCAGCCGCGGUAAUACGGAGGGUGCGAGCGUUAAUCGGAAUUACUGGGCGUAAAGCGCGCGUAGGCGGUCUGAUAAGCCGGUUGUGAAAGCCCCGGGAUCAACCUGGGAACGGCAUCCGGAACUGUCAGGCUAGAGUGCAGGAGAGGAAGGUAGAAUUCCCGGUGUAGCGGUGAAAUGCGUAGAGAUCGGGAGGAAUACCAGUGGCGAAGGCGGCCUUCUGGACUGACACUGACGCUGAGGUGCGAAAGCGUGGGUAGCAAACAGGAUUAGAUACCCUAGUAGUC